AGAGUUUGAUCCUGGCUCAGGAUGAACGCUGGCGGCGUGCCUAAUACAUGCAAGUCGAGCGAACGGACGAGAAGCUUGCUUCUCUGAUGUUAGCGGCGGACGGGUGAGUAACACGUGGAUAACCUACCUAUAAGACUGGGAUAACUUCGGGAAACCGGAGCUAAUACCGGAUAAUAUUUUGAACCGCAUGGUUCAAAAGUGAAAGACGGUCUUGCUGUCACUUAUAGAUGGAUCCGCGCUGCAUUAGCUAGUUGGUAAGGUAACGGCUUACCAAGGCAACGAUGCAUAGCCGACCUGAGAGGGUGAUCGGCCACACUGGAACUGAGACACGGUCCAGACUCCUACGGGAGGCAGCAGUAGGGAAUCUUCCGCAAUGGGCGAAAGCCUGACGGAGCAACGCCGCGUGAGUGAUGAAGGUCUUCGGAUCGUAAAACUCUGUUAUUAGGGAAGAACAUAUGUGUAAGUAACUGUGCACAUCUUGACGGUACCUAAUCAGAAAGCCACGGCUAACUACGUGCCAGCAGCCGCGGUAAUACGUAGGUGGCAAGCGUUAUCCGGAAUUAUUGGGCGUAAAGCGCGCGUAGGCGGUUUUUUAAGUCUGAUGUGAAAGCCCACGGCUCAACCGUGGAGGGUCAUUGGAAACUGGAAAACUUGAGUGCAGAAGAGGAAAGUGGAAUUCCAUGUGUAGCGGUGAAAUGCGCAGAGAUAUGGAGGAACACCAGUGGCGAAGGCGACUUUCUGGUCUGUAACUGACGCUGAUGUGCGAAAGCGUGGGGAUCAAACAGGAUUAGAUACCCUGGUAGUCCACGCCGUAAACGAUGAGUGCUAAGUGUUAGGGGGUUUCCGCCCCUUAGUGCUGCAGCUAACGCAUUAAGCACUCCGCCUGGGGAGUACGACCGCAAGGUUGAAACUCAAAGGAAUUGACGGGGACCCGCACAAGCGGUGGAGCAUGUGGUUUAAUUCGAAGCAACGCGAAGAACCUUACCAAAUCUUGACAUCCUUUGACAACUCUAGAGAUAGAGCUUUCCCCUUCGGGGGACAAAGUGACAGGUGGUGCAUGGUUGUCGUCAGCUCGUGUCGUGAGAUGUUGGGUUAAGUCCCGCAACGAGCGCAACCCUU
rnacentral:rRNA from 49 species